ensembl:lncRNA
CAGACAUGACUGAGCACUUUCACACACAGCACAGCUGGCUGACUUCUUAAAUCUCUUCUCACUCUUAGAUAAGGAGGAAGAAGCUAUUUGGCAGUCAAAGAUGGACAUUUCUCCUAAAGAGGAUAUUGGAAAAGGAAGAACUCCUCAGAAGGUGGAGCUGUGUUCCCUCCCUGCAAUUUACCUGGGGCCAAACUAUGGUGGAGGUAAUGAACAUAAUGGUGACCUCCUUCAAAAGAUCCCAUGCAUGUACUGCUACACUCAGUGCCCCCAACUCUGCAGCAGGCCACCACCAACCCGCGCCUCUGCUGGAGACUCCUGGACACUCACGGGCAAAUCUGGUCCGGCGAAGCGCAGCCGCAGCUCCUGACCUUGGACGUGGGGUAUCUCCUCUCCGCAGCUCACCGCUCCAGCAAGUGGGCAUUUAGCCAGCUCAUGAAGCACCCACUUAUUGAGCUUUUUCACCUUUCCAACUUACUUCCAAUGCCAAGUAACUAUAGAAUGAUCAACGUUGAGUUCUUUGGUAACUUCUUGUGUAGUUGGAAGAAGAUCAGCUCAGUGAUGGCUCUCAGUUGGUCAUUGUCAACUUCUGACGGCUGGACACUACACUCCUCAACUUCAAGGCUCUCAUCUCCUUUGCAAAACUUCUUGAACCACCACUACACUGUAUGUUCAUUAGCAAUUCCUAGACCAAAU